CUCCAAAUACACAAAUAACGUCGUAUUAAUUAUCUAUAGCCGUAAACAAUUAUAAUUACAGUACGUUAUAAGAAUAAAUCAAUUAAUGAAAAUUCUAAAAUCAAGUCUUCCAAAGAAACCAACUUCCUCCUUUUCAUAGCUCAUGAAUUUCUGCUAGCUGCACUCCAUAUAUCAUCCAAUGAAUGUUGAAUGUUACAUGUAAAUUGAUAUGACAAUUAUUCAAUUCCAACAUGUAUCAACUCUACAUGUUUCUCCAUCUCCCAUUUU
rnacentral:lncRNA from 1 species